CUGAAUGAUUGUGGUUGACAGACACUGUGAGGCUGAAUGAUUGUGGUUGACAAACACUGUGAGGCAGAAUGAUUGUGGUUGACAGACACUGUGAGGCUGAAUGGUUGUGGUUGACAGACACUGUGAGGCAGAAUGAUUGUGGUUGACAAACACUGUGAGGCAGAAUGAUUGUGGUUGACAGACACUGUGAGGCAGAAUGAUUGUGGUUGACAGACACUGUGAGGCAGAAUGAUUGUGGUUGACAGACACUGUGAGGCUGAAUGAUUGUGGUUGACAGACACUGUGAGGCUGAAUGAUUGUGGUUGACAAACACUGUGAGGCUGAAUGAUUGUGGUUGACAGACACUGUGAGGCUGAAUGAUUGUGGUUGACAGACACUGUGAGGCUGAAUGAUUGUGGUUGACAAACACUGUGAGGCUGAAUGAUUGUGGUUGACAGACACUGUGAGGCAGAAUGAUUGUGGUUGACAAACACUGUGAGGCUGAAUGAUUGUGGUUGACAGACACUGUGAGGCUGAAUGAUUGUGGUUGACAAACACUGUGAGGCAGAAUGAUUGUGGUUGACAGACACUGUGAGGCAGAAUGAUUGUGGUUGACAGACACUGUGAGGCUGAAUGAUUGUGGUUGACAGACACUGUGAGGCAGAAUGAUUGUGGUUGACAGACACUGUGAGGCUGAAUGAUUGUGGUUGACAGACACUGUGAGGCAGAAUGAUUAUGGUUGACAGACACUGUGAGGCAGAAUGAUUAUGGUUGACGAAACGAAAGUGAACGAAAUGAAACGAAAUGAACGGGCACGGAUUUGUACCUCCAGGCCGCGGCGGACAACCCAGGGCCCGGCGGCGGCGACGACGCCCUGCUGGGGACGCCCGCUCCAGGGGGGGCCAGGGGUCACGCCCUAAAGGGGGGCCCUAGGGGGGCCACGUCCUAAAGGGGGGCCCCAGGGGGAGCCACGCCCAGAAGGGGGGCCCUAGGGGGGCCACGUCCUAAAGGGAGGCCCUAGGGGGGCCACGUCCUAAAGGGGGGCCCUCCAGGGGGGCCACGCCCUAAUGAUGGAUCCUCCAGGGGGGCCACGCCCUAAUGGGGGGUCCUCCAGGGGGGCCACGCCCUAAUGGGGGGUCCUCCAGGGGGGCCACGCCCUAAUGGGGGGUCCUCCAGGGGGGCCACGCCCUAAUGAUGGAUCCUCCAGGGGGGCCACGCCCUAAUGGGGGGUCCUCCAUGGGGGCCACGCCCUAAUGGAGGGUCCUCCAGGGGGGCCACGCCCUAAAGGGGGGUCCUCCAGGGGGGCCACGCCCUUAUGGGGGAUCCUCCAGGGGGGCCACGCCCUAAUGGGGGGUCCUCCAGGGGGGCCACGCCCUAAUGGGGGAUCCUCCAGGGGGCCACGCCCUAAUGGAGGGUCCUCCAGGGGGGCCACGCCCUUAUGGGGGAUCCUCCAGGGGGGCCACGCCCUAAUGGGGGGUCCUCCAGGGGGGCCACGCCCUAAUGGGGGGUCCUCCACGGGGGCCACGCCCUAAUGGGGGAUCCUCCAGGGGGGCCACGCCCUAAUGGGGGAUCCUCCAGGGGGGCCACGCCUUCGACGGGGCUCCCCCAGCCAGGGGCCGCCACCUCCGCCGUGCUCUAGCGUUGCCGCCUGGUGCCUGGACGUCCUAAUCCUCGUCCUCCAGGAUGAGGUCCUGGAGGGAGGCCUCAAUAGCGGCCUGUACUUUAGCAGCCUCCUUGCGGAGGGUCUCCUCCAGGAUGAGGUCCUGGAGGGAGGCCUCAAUAGCGGCCUGUACUUUAGCAGCCUCCUUGCGGAGGGUCUCCUCCAGGAUGAGGUCCUGGAGGGAGGCCUCAAUAGCGGCCUGUACUUUAGCAGCCUCCUUGCGGAGGGUCUCCUCCAGGAUGAGGUCCUGGAGGGAGGCCUCAAUAGCGGCCUGUACUUUAGCAGCCUCCUGGCGGAGGGUCUCCUCCAGGAUGAGGUCCUGGAGGGAGGCCUCAAUAGCGGCCUGUACUUUAGCAGCCUCCUUGCGGAGGGUCUCCUCCAGGAUGAGGUCCUGGAGGGAGGCCUCAAUAGCGGCCACGACUUUGUCAGCCUCCUGGCGGAGGGUGACAAAGUCGUUCUCGUGAGCGCCGGCAACGGGCUCCUCCCGUCGGUGUCCAGGAGACACCUGAGCUGCGACGUUGUGGGUGAAAGUGUUCAUCGUCAUUUAAUACUUCUCGGAGUAUUUAAAAAAAAAAGAUGCAUUUCGCGAGGCACACGUCUUGUUCAUUACUGGGAUGGUGUCCAGCCCCCCCUCCAACACACACACGCACACACACACACACACACACACACACACACACACACACGCACACACACACACACACACACACACACACACACACACACACACACACACACACACACACACACACACACACACACACACACACACACACACACACGCACACACACACACGGGUGAAGUGAACAAAAAACACAUGUUACCUUCAGACAGAGGUGAACAAAACAAUCAAGACUCACUCCCUUCACUCCCCUCUUCCCUCCCCUCUCUCCUCCCCUCACCCCCCCUUCCCUCCCUCACCUCCCUAAAGAGACAGGUGCGAGGAUUGAUUCACCUUUCUAGAUCGGAGUGUUGCAACAGAAGAACAGAAAGUAAUAGACGCAACAGCAAAGCCACGUGGAAGACUAUAAGAGAACUGAUUCCCUAUAACAAAAACACUGAUAAAGUUAACAAUGACAAAAAGAAUCAGACAGCUAAUUAUUUUAACAUUUUCUUUGGUAAUGAUGGAAAGGACACGUUUAAUUAACCGUGUAGCAGCGACGGGCCAAAUUUGUGGCGUUACCGUACCGGCGGCGGGCCAAAUUUGUGCCAUGAUAUAACCCCCAAAAAUAGAUGAUGCAUAAACUGAUCACAAAUGCGUUGAUAUAUAUUAUGAAAUGGUUUGCGUAAGUGAGGCUUUUUUCACAUUUUCUCGCUUGGAGGGGCCUUUAAGAAACAUGGUCCAAGCAGCUGCCGGGCUAAGUCAGAUAACGUCAGCGAGCCAUGCAGCAACCGUCCCGUGUCUCUCCUCCACGUUCUGUCUAAAGCUCCAGAAAAAAAUAUCAUCCCACUCCUCUUAACUCUUUUUAUAGGAGCAGUGACUUGCGGGCUUUUUUAUUGUUUUUUUUUCCCUUGAACUGUUUCCUUUACUGUAAAAAUAAUUCCAGUUAACUCAAUACCUUGAAAAAAAAAAUAAUAACUUGCUUAGCAAAACUCAACAUGGCUUCCGGUCAUAUCUAUCGAGCACCUCUGUUCUGUUAACUCUGGCUAACAAUAUAUAUGCAAAUAUGGACAAUAAGAAAGUUUCCUUCGUUACUCUCUGCGACUUGUCAGGAGCAUUUGACGGCGUUUGCCACACAAUAUUACUUGACAAGUGCCUUAACUUAAAGACUGAUUCUUUCUGGUUUCACAGCGACCUCACUGAAAGGACACGAUCGGUGCGCAUAAACAGUACGAUGUCUGGCAAAACAAACAUUUCGUAUGGUAUGGUACUCAGUGCUUGGUCCCUUUCUGUUUAUCAUAUUUGUAAAGGAUCUUUCGUGUUUCUUACCAAAUUGUGAAAUCAUUCAGUGCGCAGAUGACACAGUUUAUCCAAGUGUGUGGCAGCCUGAACUACUGCCGUGCUAUACAAGGCCGUGAUCUCUGCAGUAUUUUACUUUAAGGACUAGUAUUUACUCUAUCUCUGUAUUCAUUCCCAUCUAGUGCUUGGGCAAUGUUCUCCGUCCCCACAUUUUAUUGUCUUAUUGUCCAGGGGGAGGUACCGCCCCCUCCCUUGUUGUGCUUUCCUUCCUACCAUUGUAUCUUUUUAGUUUCAUGGUGCUGCCUACACAUGUAUUAAUAGUUGUAUAAUCACACUCUGUCCUGCCUGGGGGUUGGGAUGGCAUGCUCCUCCCUUCUCCCUUGUUGUUUACCCGCAACAAUAAACUAUCAAUCAAUCAAUCCACACAGGCAAUAGACGAUCUAAAUAAUUUGGUGCACAGAAGCGAAGAAACCGUAAAAUUAGCAAAAAAGAAAAUAUUUUCACAAGCAUGGUCUAAUGCUCAGUGCCAAAAAGACGCAAUGUAUGUUUAUAGGGAGCCAAAAAGACGCAAUGUAUGUUUAUAGGGAGCCAAAAAGACGCAAUGUAUGUUUAUAGGGAGCCAAAAAGACGCAAUGUAUGUUUAUAGGGAGCCAAAAAGACGCAAUGUAUGUUUAUAGGGAGCCAAAAAGACGCAACGUAUGGUUAUAGGGAGCCAAAAAGACGCAAUGUAUGUUUAUAGGGAGCCAAAAAGACGCAAUGUAUGUUUAUAGGGAGCCAAAAAGACGCAAUGUAUGUUUAUAGGGAGCCAAAAAGACGCAAUGUAUGGUUAUAGGGAGCCAAAAAGACGCAAUGUAUGUUUAUAGGGAGCCAAAAAGACGCAAUGUAUGGUUAUAGGGAGCCAAAAAGACGCAAUGUAUGGUUAUAGGGAGCAGGGGCGCCUGUCAAUGGCUCCACCCGACGGUCGCGUGCAGGUGCCGGCAGCGUGAUCACCGCCGUGCGUCCCUCGAGGGCCUGGGUGUGCGCCUCGAUGACCGCUUACUGUUUGAUACAUCGCAGAAAUAAGUAGGGAAGUAUAUGGAGCAUUAAUGUAUGCGAAUAGAUUAAGGGAUCAUUUUAACAAACACGCAAGGAUUACUGUUACGCAAUCACUAGUCAUGAGCAAUAUUGAUUACUUUUUCCUCUUUCCUACAUAAUUUCCAUG